GGGGCCAGCUUGGGAUGCGGAACCCCCUAGCACCCCUGUCAGGUACUUAUCCGCAGAUGAAUGGGUUGGAGCGUCAAAAUGGUGGCACAAGCUUCGAACGGCCGUAACUUCUGAUCCGGGAGGAGCUACAGGGGCGACAAUAUAUCAACGGAAAGCUCGUUCCGAGUGCUAGGACUGUGAAGCAGCAGGAAGCCCAGAUGAAUGGGUUGGAGCAUCAAAAUGGUGGCACAAGCUUCGAACGGCCGUAACUUUUGAUCCGGAAGGAGUUACGGGGGCGAUAAUAUAUCAAUGGAAAGCUCGUUUCGAGCCCUACGAUCGUGAAUAGGGUUUACCCAUUCACUCCAUUUCUCGAGCCCAAAAUCCUUUGUUUUAGUGGGUUUCGGGGCCGUUUUAUCUUUGGGGGCCCCGUCUUUGGUUCAGUCUGCGUCCGGCCGCCCGUCGGCCUCAUUACGGGCGAGCCCAGGCGUCGGCGCACUCGUCGCUGGGUGCGGUCGAAUCCGGGCACCCCGCGGCACAGUCGGGACUCGCAUCUCGCUCCGCACGCAUCCCUCUGGCCUGCCUUGCACCACCGCGGCCACCCCGAGGGGGCGACACCGGAGCCCGCGGGUGCUCCGGGGGUUGUCCGCGACCGACGUGCGCGUGCGGCGGCCGACCCCCUCCAUCGCACGUGCGAGUCACCUCGCAUGCUUACGGGACUUGCCUGCUUUGGGCAGGCCGCACCCUUGCCCGGCUAGUUGCCGCAGGGCUGACUCCCGGGUCUAAUUUUUCGCAAGAAUCUCAGCCCCGUGCGGCGCCGGACGCCCCAUCCCCUC
rnacentral:lncRNA from 1 species